AUAUUUUGAUUGUUAUAUCUAAGAUUUCACCAGUGGUCCACCGUCUCGUAUUAGUAUCGACUCAAACUCGUCCUAUCAUCUAAUCUCGUUCAGUAAAACUAAACAAAUCUAAUGGAUUUUACUCGUGGUAUACCGUCUCGUAUUACUGUCGAUCCCUACCAUCUAACCCUGUUCAGUGAAAUUAAACAUUUUAUUUUUGUUAUUUUUAUU
rnacentral:sRNA from 1 species